GACGAACGCUGGCGGCGUGCUUAACACAUGCGAGUCGAACGGAAAGGCCCUGCUUUUGUGGGGUGCUCGAGUGGCGAACGUGUGAGUAACACGUGAGUAACCUGCCCUUGACUUUGGGAUAACUUCAGGAAACUGGGGCUAAUACCGGAUAGGAGCUCCUGCUGCAUGGUGGGGGUUGGAAAGUUUCGGCGGUUGGGGAUGGACUCGCGGCUUAUCAGCUUGUUGGUGGGGUAGUGGCUUACCAAGGCUUUGACGGGUAGCCGGCCUGAGAGGGUGACCGGCCACAUUGGGACUGAGAUACGGCCCAGACUCCUACGGGAGGCAGCAGUGGGGAAUAUUGCGCAAUGGGCGGAAGCCUGAUGCAGCAACGCCGCGUGCGGGAUGACGGCCUUCGGGUUGUAAACCGCUUUCGCCUGUGACGAAGCGUGAGUGACGGUAAUGGGUAAAGAAGCACCGGCUAACUACGUG
rnacentral:rRNA from 1 species